rnacentral:rRNA from 1 species
UACGUAGGUGGCAAGCGUUAUCCGGAAUUAUUGGGCGUAAAGGGUUCGCAGGCGGUCCUUUAAGUCAGAUGUGAAAUGCAUAGGCUUAACCUAUGUUAGCAUUUAAAACUGGAGAACUUGAGUGCAGGAGAGGUAAGUGGAAUUCCUAGUGUAGCGGUGAAAUGCGUAGAUAUUAGGAGGAACACCAGUGGCGAAGGCGACUUACUGGACUGUAACUGACGCUGAGGCGCGAAAGCGUGGGGAGCAAACAGGAUUAGAUACCCCGGUAGUCCCU